rnacentral:rRNA from 1 species
UACAUGGGGUGCAAACGUUGCUCGGAAUUAUUGGGCGUAAAGCGCACGUAGGCGGUUUGUUAAGUCGGAUGUGAAAUCCCUCGGCUCAACUGAGGAAGUGCACCCGAAACUGGCAGGCUUGAGUACUAAAGAGGGUCGCGGAAUUCCCGGUGUAGAGGUGAAAUGCGUAGAUAUCGGAAGGAACAUCAGUGGCGAAGGCGACUUCCUGGACCAAUACUGACGCUCAGGUGCGAAAGCGUGGGGAGCAAACAGG